rfam:Agrilus planipennis Contig34005, whole genome shotgun sequence.
AGGUAGAGGAGUUUUAGUCGGUAGGUUCGAGGACAUCUUCCUCGGGAAUCCGACACUACCCAGUCGUACGGAUAAGUGGGUGUCUUUUGAAGAUUUUCCUUCUUCC